CCUACGGGGUGCAGCAGUGGGGAAUAUUGCGCAAUGGGCGAAAGCCUGACGCAGCGACGCCGCGUGAGGGAUGAAGGUCUUCGGAUCGUAAACCUCUGUCAGCAGGGAAGAACGGUCACUGUGCUAAUCAGCAGUGAAUUGACGGUACCCCUUGAAUAAGCCACGGCUAACUACGUGCCAGCAGCCGCGGUAAUACGUAGGUGGCAAGCGUUGUCCGGAUUUACUGGGUGUAAAGGGCGUGCAGCCGGGCCGACAAGUCAGAUGUGAAAUCCGCGGGCUUAACCCGCGAACUGCAUUUGAAACUAUAGGUCUUGAGUGCCGGAGAGGUAAUCGGAAUUCCUUGUGUAGCGGUGAAAUGCGUAGAUAUAAGGAAGAACACCAGUGGCGAAGGCGGAUUACUGGACGGUAACUGACGGUGAGGCGCGAAAGCGUGGGGAGCAAACAGGAUUAGAUACCCGUGUAGUC
rnacentral:rRNA from 1 species